ACGGUAGGUAUCUGGUAUGCAACGGCCUUCUAAGCCGUAGGUCGCAGGUUCGAAUCCUGCCUGGCGUACCA
rnacentral:tRNA from 1 species